AACGUGCCACUGCACUCCAGCCUGGGCGAUAGAGCGAGGCUCUGUCUUAAAAACACACACACACAAAAACUUCCAACUCCAGCCUGUGAUUGGCCAGAAAUGUCAGUACUUUCUGAACUAUCCUACCAAAGUGUCCUAACAGCAGAGGAGCAUCUCUUAAAUACAAAAUUAAUUAUUCUCCCUUAUGGUUAUCUUUACAAUUCUUGCAAAUGUUCCACCUUAGUGUGUGUGUAUAUGUGUAUAGACACAUAUACAUACAUAUACACACACACACACACAUAUAUAUAUUUGCCUUAAUAUUAAAAUCAUGUUUCUUCUAAAAGUAGGGGGGAAAUUGAUACUCUAGGAGUACCGAUACUCUAGGAGUAUAUUCCACCUUACUGUGUGUAUAUGUGUGUAUAGGCACACAUACAUACAUAUAUACACACACACACAUAUAUACACACAUACAUUUGCUUUAAUAUCAAAAUCAAGUUUCUUCUAAAACUAGAGGGGAAACUGAUACUCUAGGAGUAUGUGCUAGUUGUACUGUGGAACUUCAUCACGUCCCCAGCAGGGUGCACACCUACCAGAUUGCCUGCCUUUUCCAAAAUGCUCCCCUUCCAUCCGGGAAAUACGUCUACAAAUCAAGUUCCUAAGAGCUAUUUGUCCAAGGUGCUGCCCUGAGGCCCAAGGCAAUAGUUAACUGAACCAGAGAAGUACUCCGCUCAGGGCAGCCAAGGAGAUUCCCUGUCCAGAGAAUGUGAGAAAGAGAUGAAGAGUGAGUGUCAGUCUCUCUUUGGCUGAACCUGUAGCCAUAUGUUCUACGACUGUGGUCCAAGAAGUCUGAAAGGCAGUCUUUAGAAAAGGAAGGAAUGAAGAAGACACUCACAGAGAAGCAGACACUAGAGGUAGGAUGGGAAUGCUGCCUGUUCCUCGCAUAGUCCUGUCUGUGGAGUGGCCCUUCCUGGAGCUGGGCUCCAUCCAUUUGGAAGCUCAGCUCCCUGAGUAGUCACCUCAGCAUACACAGAACACUCGUGUGAGAAACACAAGCUAAGUGACAAAAAAGGCAGGCACAAUAGAGCAGCCUGGGGCCUUAUUCAGCAAGAGGUAAAUCACUUGCUGUGGGCAUACCCCAACUCUGAAAGAAAAACCAAAUUAACAACCAUGCAAGCUCCUAUUUGGAUAUAAGCUAGGUAUCCCUUCUUUUCUAGCAAGAAGGAAUAAACGUAACAUGCCUUGCAUUAAAUGUCAUAGUUUUGGAAUUGAGAAUCUAAAUUGUAAGUUACGGGCCCAAAACACAAAGAAGAACUACAACCCUGCCGGUGAACUUCCUUUUUUCCAGGCUGUUACAUGCUUUGCUGUUGCCACCCCCGACCGUGUGGUAAGAGGCGACCUCCUGGGUUUCCCCAGCCAGGCUGCCCCAUCGAAGGCAGCUACACAACGGCCAGGAAAAGCCAGCCAGAGCCAGUAGGGCUGGAGCCCUGACAAAGGCAACGACGCUCCUGGAGUCAGAUAAUGAAAGCCAGAGCAGGAAGGACCCUGCGCUUCAUGUAAGACGUUCACCAAAUAAAGAAAUGUUUAAUCAUGCAUCUGUGCUGUACAUUGCAGGGGCCUUUGAAAAGCGUAAUGCCUGGGUGCAGUUUAAGAAUAAGGAAUCUUAAUCUAUCUGGCCUAACUUUAGAAAAUUGUUUGGAGGGGAUUCUUAAGAUACUCUGAAUUUAUACUUUCUUAACGGGGGCUGUCUUUUGUAUAUGUGGUUUGUGAGAAAAUACGUGAAUGAUCUGUAAUUUGAGUCUGUUUUCAAAGCUUAGAUAAAGUAUCAUUGGAUUAUACCAUUUUCAUUUAAUGCUCUAGAUGGCAGAA